rnacentral:rRNA from 1 species
CGGCAACAGCUCAAAUUUGAAAUCUGGCGCAAGCCCGAGUUGUAAUUUGGAGAGGAUGCUUUUGGCGCGGCGCCGUCCGAGUUCCUUGGAACAGGACGCCACAGAGGGUGAGAGCCCCGUACGGACGGACGCCUAGCCUCUACAAAGCUCCUUCGAC